rnacentral:rRNA from 1 species
UACAGAGGAUGCAAGCGUUAUCCGGAAUGAUUGGGCGUAAAGCGUCUGUAGGUGGCUUUUUAAGUCCGCCGUCAAAUCCCAGGGCUCAACUCUGGACAGGCGGUGGAAACUACCAAGCUGGAGUACGGUAGGGGCAGAGGGAAUUUCCGGUGGAGCGGUGAAAUGCGUAGAGAUCGGAAGGAACGCCGGUGGCGAAAGCGGCGUGCUGGACCUCUGCUGACGCUGAGGCGCGAAAGCCAGGGGAGCGGAACGGG